rnacentral:rRNA from 1 species
UACAGAGGUGGCAAGCGUUGUUCGGAAUUACUGGGCGUAAAGGGCGCGUAGGCGGCCUUCUAAGUCAGACGUGAAAUCCCCAGGCUUAACCUGGGAACUGCGUCUGAUACUGGAGGGCUUGAGUGCGGGAGAGGGAUGUGGAAUUCCGGUGUAGCGGUGAAAUGCGUAGAUAUCUGGAGGAACACCGGUGGCGAAGGCGGCAUCCUGGACCGACACUGACGCUGAGGCGCGAAAGCUAGGGUAGCAAACGGG